rnacentral:rRNA from 1 species
GCAUAUCAAUAAGCGGAGGAAAAGAAACCAACAGGGAUUGCCCUAGUAACGGCGAAGUGAAGCGGCAACAGCUCAAAUUUGAAAUCUGGCUUUCGGGCCCGAGUUGUAAUUUGUAGAGGAUGAUUUUGAUGCGGUGCCUUCCGAGUUCCCUGGAACGGGACGCCAUAGAGGGUGAGAGCCCCGUCUGGUUGGAUGCCAAAUCUCUGUAAAUCUCCUUCGACGAGUCGAGUAGUUUGGGAAUGCUGCUCUAAAUGGGAGGUAUAUGUCUUCUAAAGCUAAAUACCGGCCAGAGACCGAUAGCGCACAAGUAGAGUGAUCGAAAGAUGAAAAGCACUUUGAAAAGAGAGUUAAAAAGUACGUGAAAUUGUUGAAAGGGAAGCGUUUAUGACCAGACUUGGGCUUGGUUAAUCAUCUGGGGUUCUCUCCAGUGCACUUUUCCAGCCCAGGCCAGCAUCAGUUUUCGCCGGGGGAUAAAGACUUCGGGAAUGUGGCUCCCCUCGGGGAGUGUUAUAGCCCGUUGUGUAAUACCCUGGUGGGGACUGAGGUUCGCGCUUCUGCAAGGAUGCUGGCGUAAUGGUCAUCAACGACCCGUCUUGAAACACGGACCAAGGAGUCGUCUUCGUAUGCGAGUGUUCGGGUGUCAAACCCCUACGCGUAAUGAAAGUGAACGCAGGUGAGAGCUUCGGCGCAUCAUCGACCGAUCCUGAUGUUCUCGGAUGGAUUUGAGUAAGAGCAUACGGGGCCGGACCCGAAAGAAGGUGAACUAUGCCUGUGUAGGGUGAAGCCAGAGGAAACUCUGGUGGAGGCUCGCAGCGGUUCUGACGUGCAAAUCGAUCGUCAAACAUGGGCAUGGGGGCGAAAGACUAAUCGAACCUUCUAGUAGCUGGUUCCGC